rnacentral:lncRNA from 1 species
UCAGGAUUCGUCUGAUUUGCUAUUUGACGCGCCCCAGAUUCAGUUUCAGAUUCAGUUCAUAUUAUAUCGUGCUGAGAUCUGAGAAUCUCAGCUACUUGAUGAGACCCUGGUCUCCCAAUGGCAAUCCAUGCUUGCUCCAUUUUAAAAAUGUUUACUGAUCUCCCACCACCUACGUUGCUUUCAAUGACAUCGGCACUUAAAGGAGUUGUACUUGGACCUAAAUCUGCUAGCAGAAAAAAUUAGAAAGAAAAAAAUUUUCCAAGGAAUUUAAUGCAAAGAACUAAAAAACUGCCCUUCAUCUCAUGGAAGUAAAUGGAGGUCAGAGAAUGUGCGGAAUGAGUAUUGGUUACUGUCAUAUUUCUUUCCAACAUCUACUUUGUUAAUUCUGGAGUACAUUUGAUUAAUUUUGUAAUUCCCAACAUAAAGUUUGAUCCAUCAAGAGGCUGGAGAACUGCAGAAAUGAAGAAUUCUUCCUACCCCUGUUGACUGUGCUAAAAUGAAGCACAACUGUAGUGUGCUUCAAAGAAGGAUAAACAGCAACAAUGUUGAUAAUGACAUAAUCAUAAAACUUCGAAGUCUAGCAUCGUCAGUUGAUUCGUAGGUUGAAAUUCCGCGGAGACUAUACACGCAUUCUUCAGUUUAAGUACUGACAGGUGACAUGUAAAGUUGAAUUUAUGCGUGGUGAUGACACAAACUUGUGGAGAUUCGCUGACAAAAAGUUGGGCAUGACCUCCGAUGUUCGAAGGUCCGAAAAGUGAUUGGUUUACUACAUCAAGAUAAUUUUUCGUCGUGUCUAAGAUGUCGCUAGUUAUAUCCCUUGCUUCAAGCAUCAUUUGUUGAAAAAAAUAGCCGUGCGGCAAAAAGUACAUUCCAAAUGUGACUGUAUUGCACGGUUUCUAGAGACGGCUUACGAUGGUGGACAUUUUACCGUGUCAAAUGAAAACGACUGAUUCAAGCUGCUUCGAUCAUUAAUUGAUACAAUGUUCGGACAUGGCAAAAUGUUGUACAAUACGAGGCAGUCUUCCUUGAGUUGGGCUGACGAGAAUCGCACUGUUAACGCAUCCGAGUUGUACGAAUUACUCAAGGCUUGCCUAUCUAAUGACCUCAAAAACUGUGUAGAUUUGGACGUUUACCGGCAUGUCUUGGAUGGGUCGGGGCAAGGCAGAUGGAAAUUGGCGAAUUUCUUGUGAUUUCAUGGUCAAUCUGAAACAAUGACAAACUGCGUUUCAUUUUACAGCAAAGAAGAGAUUGGCAUGUUUUUUGCCGAACGUUUCCGUGAUGUAGUUCGCGAUGUCGGAUUCCAAGUAAACUACCAUGUUCUUUCAGCACUCAUUUUACGACAUAUGCGAAAAGUUGGCACACUAGACACUACGUUUCGGAGAUUUCUUGUCGGCUGUCUUUCACAUCACCAUAGAAUGUGGUAUCAUUGUGUAUAAAAACUACUGAGGAGGAAUUCCGCCUCAUCUAAAAGGCAAAAGAAUCCUAGCUUAACUAUAAAUUACAAACAGAAAAAUUGGAAAACAAAGGGAAAGAAGAGACAGCAAAGAAAGAAAAAUAACAAGCCAGGAGGAAAAAGUAAGUAAGCAAAAAGUAAAGGAGAUUUUAGGGUAAAUACCCCCUCAUUUUUGGUGAUACAAUUUUUUAGUUAAGUCAAUGACACUGAUGUAUGCGGAUAUCCUUAAAGUACGGGAAGUCUUUGAAGAGACUGGAGAAUCCUAUAUCUUAUUCACAAACAGAAGUCUGAAGCGUAACUAGGAAAGAAGAAAUCUAAAAGGAAAAAGUACGGCAGUGGCUUAAAGUUGAUGAUUUAUUCUCAAAUGAACGACAGAAUUUGACUGCCAUGACUCAGCGAGCUGGAUUUUUACGAGUUAGACUUCAGUCAACUUCCAACCAUGAAUUGAUGCAGCAGUAAUACUCCGGACAAGCUGAAAGACCACACACACGGCAGAAACCGGCGAGAUCAUUGCAGCCAAUUUAAACGCCUUUAAAAAAACAAUCACAUGUGUACAUAUACUAUUUCCAUAGUUUUUUGCUGUUUUAUACGACUGGCCAUUGAUUCUCUGGUGUCAUUUGUCCCAUGUCUUUGAAGUUGAGCAAUUCCUUUUUCAACUCGCGUUGGUUGUAAAUUAGGAUAACAGAUGGCGAGACUGCACCUCUGUCUUUGUUUUGAAAAAACUAAGUGUGACAAGUGAAACCUAUGUUCGAAUAUUUGUGAACUGUUACAUUCCAGUGAUUAGUUUGAUAAAAUUAAAUGGUGUGAUUUCAACUAUUUAGAGUUUUUUAUUCUUUCUUGUGUUUUUGGAGUGAGAAAAAUCAAGUGGAUCAUUUUGUGUGCAAUGGGUAAACUUGUGAUCAGUUAUGCCAGCUACCAGAACCAAAUUAUUACUUUUACAUUCCCUUCAUGCUAUUCUAUUGCACAUUGAGAGAAGUAGUUGGUGAAAUCUAAAUAGCUAAAGAUAACAACCGUGAGGAAUAGUUAGAAAUGACACAAACUAUAUGAGUUGCCAUAUCAUCAUGAAAAUAACGUCAUUCUGCUACUCUUUACUCAUUCAUCAUGUCCUUGGCAGGAUUUUGAGUUGCUGGGUGUGCUCAUGUAUCUAUAAUGAAAAAAAUGCUGGCUUCAAAGAAAGAUCACCAACAAUGCAAAAUCGAUGGAUUGAAAUACCUCAAGUCAUUCUAUACUCUUUGCCCACUCAUCAUCUCAUCCAACACAUGCCUUCGCCUCGCCCGUCGCCACAUCUUCGCUUCGCCCGUCGCCCGGUCUUCGCUUCGCCCGUCGCCCCGUCUUCGCUUCGCCCGUCGCCCCAUCUUCGCUUCACCCGUCGUCCCGUCUUCGCUUCGCCCUUCGCUCCGUCUUCGCUUCGCCCGUCGUCUCGUCUUCGCCUCUUGGUCUCCCCCUCUUCAAUUCGCCCUUUCAUCGCCUCGUCUUUGUGGUAUCGUUGUAUUUUGUAAUGUGUAAUUGUGUAGUGUUAAUUAACCCGUUGGCUGCCACCCACUUUGAUCCCCUUUUUUUUAAAGCUUGUUAGGGUCCGGCAGCGCUGUUCUGCCCAAUGGUCUAUAUGCCAUGGGCGGGACAGUUGCACAAGCCGUGUGGCUCAAAGUCGAUCGUCGAGGCAAUGCACCAGUAGGGACUUCCCUUUUUUCGAUGUGGUGGUGGUUGCCUGGGGUGUGCAUUCCCAUAACGGCUUUCAUCAUCAUAUCAGCCCGGACUUGUCUUCGGACAAGUCCCCCUUGGUCGCUAUCCUUCCGAUAGCGAUGUAGCUAGAGUAGAUUUAGUGGCGUGGCAGCCAACGGGUUAGUUUUAUUUAUGUAUGUUUUGUAUUGGGUUUUAAAAUGUAAAAACUUGUGGUGGAUUUGUGGGUGGAAGGAGGGACAAUAAAUACUUUUGCAUACA